rnacentral:lncRNA from 1 species
CAUUUCCAAAAUCAAAUCCGCACCUCAUGCACAGUACUACUUGAACAUAGUCAAUGUUUCAUUCUAUAUAACCUAUAACAUAAUUCUUAAUCAAGUUAAUCUACAUGUUCACUCAAGUCUCAUACUUUCAAAUCGAAUAUAUAAAUAUCUAAUCAAGUCUUUCCUAUAUUAUUUGACUUUUGUGUGUGACUACAUAUGUUCGAACACUAAGUCGAUAGCAUAGAAACUCCUUCCUAUACUAAUCGAAGCAAUCAUCUAGCAAUGAUACUCGAUAUUUAGAUAGGUCGAAUAUAUACAAAAUAAUAUUCAAGAACCUCGACAUAUGGUUAUCGCAUAAUUCAUCCCUUUGAUCCUAAUAC